GACUCCCUAUGUGUGGAGUGGGAGUUAAUCAGAGACUCCCUGAUCUGUUCUUCUUUGCUCAGAAUGGUGCCCCAAGCAAGAUGAAGGACUUAUUAGUGGCCAUGAGGAGGGAAGGAAAGGUAAUCUUUAAAUGGGCCAAAGGUUUUCCUAUCCCUGCUGGCCCAGAAACAGCUCUUUUACCUUUUGUGCUGCAGACGGUGGAGGAGAUAGGUACUUCCAGACCAACAAUCUACCAGAAUUCUCCAGGAAAGACUGAAAUAGGGAAAAGAGCAGGCAUAGAAAGAACACAGAAACUGAACAGUUAAGAUGAGAGAGGACAGAGUGAAAAAUAAGCGAGACAGAAAAAAAAGAUACAGAAAAGGAGAGACAGAAAACUCUGAUAAAAAUACUUCAUACGUACCAUAUGAUUCUCUAGAUGAGUCAUGCAAUGCAUUCUAGAGCUCUUCAAACCUGAGGAAAUCCUUGGAUAUACAAGUUUGAAUCAGCCGCAAAUUGGGUCCCAACAUACUUGAUCAGAUCUACCUUGAAGUUGACUCUUCUACUACUCCAAUGGCAAUAUCAGCAAUGGUUGGCACAUGCUGGAGGUUGAAGGUGGUUCAGAGGCGGAAAAAACAAUAGUAUUUGCUGUAUCAAAGCUAGAGAGAUCAACUAUUUGUACAAGAUAGAAAAUGGAAUGCCACCAAACCAGGGAUUCAAGUAUCAGGAGAGAAAAACAUUUGGAUGGUCUUGGGACAGAUAGUUUGAACAGAAGAGAAUGAUGCUAAACUAGCAAUCAGCCAGGAAGAGGCGGGAGUGGGCUGUCCUGUUUUCCCUCCCCUCCUAUGCUAAACGACACUGGCGAAUGACUCCAGGGACACUUGUUCCCACUGGCUGCUACUAAUACUAACUAUUCCAUAAAGAAACUGUAUAGUUGGGGCUUAUUAUGACAAAAUCAAAUAUCUAACCUUUCUGAGGAAUAAUCAUCACUAACUGAAAGGUACCAUUCACUGGGGGUUCACACUGAGAUUUUCACAAUUGUAAGUCUUUAAUGAAAAUGUUUG